UUGUAAUGUAGGCUUUCAUUGUAUGUAUUUAAGGUCGUAUGUGUGAUGUUUCCGAUGUUGUUUCGAUUUUUAUUCAUUCGUUUUGAAGAUGGAAAAUCUGGUAUAUCAAACCAAAUAUUUACCGAAAUAUACGGUGUAGAUGCGUUGUAUGAUCAGUGAGUCAUGCAUGACUUUAGAGGCACCACAUAACGGUGUAGGUGCGUUAUAUGAUCAGCCAGUCAUGACAUAAUUAGGCACCACAUAACGGUGUAGGUGCGUUAUAUGAUCAGCCAGUAAUGACAUAAUUAGACACCACAUAACGGUGUAGGUGCGUUAUAUGAUCAGCGAGUCAUGACUUUAUAGGCACCACAUAACGGUAUAGGUGCGUUAUAUGAUCGGCCCGUCAUGACUUUAUAGGCACCACGUAACGGUGUAGGUGCGUUAUAUGAUCAGCCAGUCAUGACUUAAUAAGCACCACAUAACGGUAUAGGUGCGUUAUAUGAUCGGCCCGUCAUGACUUAAUAAGCACCACAUAACGGUAUAGGUGCGUUAUAUGAUCGGCCCGUCAUGACUUUAUAGGCACCACGUAACGGUGUAGGUGCGUUAUAUGAUCAGCCAGUCAUGACUUAAUAAGCACCACAUAACGGUAUAGGUGCGUUAUAUGAUCGGCCCGUCAUGACUUUAUAGGCACCACGUAACGGUGUAGAUGCGUUGUAUGAUCGGCGAGUCAUGACAUAAUACAUAAUAAUGUAUGUCAUUAAGGUGAGCCCUAAAAAAAUAUUAUAUUAUGCUCCGAUAUUUUAGGGUCUCAUAAGAUGUAGCAUUACAACAGAUUAGAUCUUUGUUGGUUACGUGAUGGUGACGGUAUUGUAUGAAACCGUCGUGACAUUCCACUGUAUUUAUUUGAAAAUGUUAAUAGAACUUAUUCGAUUAAAUGAAAUAUGUUACAUUAAAGUUGGACCGCGUUGUAAACAUAUUAGUUAUAAUCUGUCUAUAAUAUCCAUGGAUUGUCUAGCUGUCAAAAAUUAAUUAACAAAAUAGACCUUAUUUCUUGUCUAUUAAAGUCCCUCGCAAAAAGCUGUCUGCGACAGUUGACAGUUGGCUGUCAAGUGAUGGGAUAUCGGCAGAACUUGGUGUUUUUAUACAUUAAAAGAUAAGUUAUAAAAAGGCAGUGACUAAGUAGUAAUGAACACAAAUUUGUGAUUUAUGGAAUUAUUUUCUGUCAGUUUAAUUGUGUAAUUAAUGGUUAGAGCAUAUCUCCAAAAACCUCUGAGCGGAAUUUCAUGUAGUUUUCACUGGUGGUCAGAUUAUAAUUAGGAAAUGAAUUAUUAUUAUGAGAAGCGCCCCUGCUAAAUAAAACUGUACCUAAUUAUGAUAAUAUGUAGACUUUGUUUCAUUAAAAUCGGGUAUCGGAAAACUUAUCCACCCUUUAAAGAUGCGAGCACAGCUAGAACGCAAUGCUGUCUAUUUUACUUACUAGUCUACAAAAAAAAUCCUGUUACAAGACCAACGCAAAAUAAUAUUAUACAUUUCGGAAACCUCAUUCACGUAAAAGGUUUUUAAAGUAUAUAACAGCCAUGUAUAUGUAUGUACUACGUACUAGAUGUGGCGUUCUAACACUCACUGUGUUCAAGUGAAUUGAACAGCAAUCCAUUCAAACUGACUUUAGAAUGGUGUCGAUAUUGACAUAUAUUUAAAAGCGCUUUACCGCUGCAUGUUUUAAAAGUUUGGUUAGACGACGUUCGAUGUUUUAGCGCUGCAGCGAACUAGUUUUCGACUCCAGAUUUUGAACAAAUAGUUUAUAUGGACGUUCGUGUUUAUAGAAUAUAGGUCAAUGAUAACAGCGAAUCGAGCUGGUUAGUUAUAUAACAUCUGAUGGCUUAAGGUGCAGUUUCAUGCAUUGCAUUUAUAAUAGAUUUUUCUAUUGUGAUUUAAAAUAAUUGGAAUAUUUGAUAUUGAAAAACAUCCGAAACGUCACACAUCGAUGUAAUUAAAAUUUAGUUUAAUACUGAACAAUUCUGUGAUAAGAUACUGUGAUAUUUAUUUAUUUAUAUUAUUUUACUAUUCGAUAUAAGAAAGGACCUUUUUAGUUAAUUUUUAUUGUGUUUUUCAUAAGACAACAAAAUAUGCAUUGAAAAACACAUUUUAAGUUUUAAUAAAUUGAGACUGAUUUAAUAUCAAUACAACCAAAUAUUAAGUUCAAAAUUGUAUAGCAUUUUUAAAAGUUCAUUAUUUUUUAUGAUUAGGUGAGAUAUGAAGUACAGUUUUCGUGCUAUUCGAA
rnacentral:lncRNA from 1 species